rnacentral:lncRNA from 1 species
AUCAUCGGAUAACCACCUAUGAAUUCCUAUUUCGAGAUGGUCCAAUGACAGAUUGGGCAAGAGCUCUCUCGAUCAUAUAUCGAGAGAGCUCUUGCCCACUGUGAUAUGGAAGACCAAUUAAACCUAGAAAUCGAGAAAAUAAACAAGGUAGCUCAAAAGCAUGGUUACUCAAGAAAUGUAGUAAGUAAGACAUAUGCAGAAGUUAAAAGAAAAAGGGAUAUAGAUGAAAAUGUAAAGACAGACAAACGCCAAAAAGAGAAUGAAUAUAAUGCACAAGAAAACAAAGACAGAUAUGAAGUUCUUACAGAUGAAUUGGGAAAUAUGCAAACAGUACAAAAACUGCUUAAGCAAAAAAAAAAAGAAAGCAGCCUACAAGAGGCCCUCUACAGUGGCA